AGCUCAGUUGGUUAGAGCGCCAGGUUGUGGCCCUGGAGGUCGAGGGUUCGACUCCCUUC
rnacentral:tRNA from 1 species